AUCCAGCCGACGAGUCCCAAAUAGGACAAUACACGCGUCCUGGAA
rfam:Schistosoma curassoni strain Dakar, Senegal genome assembly, scaffold: SCTD_scaffold0000572